GGUUCAGGACAUCUCUCUUU
rnacentral:sRNA from 1 species